UACGUAGGGGGCAAGCGUUAUCCGGAAUGAUUGGGCGUAAAGCGUCCGCAGGUGGCAAUGUAAGUCUGCUGUCAAAGCGUCUGGCUCAACCAGAUAAAGGCAGUGGAAACUACAUAGCUAGAGUAAGGUAGGGGUAGAGGGAAUUCCUGGUGUAGCGGUGAAAUGCGUAGAGAUCAGGAAGAACACCGGUGGCGAAAACGCUCUGCUGGACCUUAACUGACACUGAGGGACGAAAGCUAGGGGAGCGAAUGGG
rnacentral:rRNA from 1 species